UUGCAAAAUUAUCAAUGGUGUUGAGGC
rnacentral:sRNA from 1 species